rnacentral:rRNA from 1 species
UACGGGGGGGGCAAGCGUUGUUCGGAAUUACUGGGCGUAAAGGGCGCGUAGGCGGCCUGCUAAGUCGGAUGUGAAAUCCCUCGGCUCAACCGAGGAACUGCAUCCGAUACUGGCGGGCUUGAAUCCGGGAGAGGGAUGUGGAAUUCCAGGUGUAGCGGUGAAAUGCGUAGAUAUCUGGAGGAACACCGGUGGCGAAGGCGGCUCACUGGCUCGUAUCUGACGCUCAGGCGCGACAGCGUGGGGAUCAAACAGG